rnacentral:rRNA from 1 species
CCUACGGGAGGCAGCAGUAGCGAAUCUUCCACAAUGGGCGAAAGCCUGAUGGAGCAACGCCGCGUGGGUGAAGAAGGUCUUCGGAUCGUAAAACCCUGUUGUUAGAGAAGAAAGUGCGUGAGAGUAACUGUUCACGUUUCGACGGUAUCUAACCAGAAAGCCACGGCUAACUACGUGCCAGCAGCCGCGGUAAUACGUAGGUGGCAAGCGUUAUCCGGAUUUAUUGGGCGUAAAGGGAACGCAGGCGGUCUUUUAAGUAUGAUGUGAAAGCCUUCGGCUUAACCGGAGUAGUGCAUUGGAAACGGGGAGACGUGAGUGCAGAAGAGGAGAGUGGAACUCCAUGUGUAGCGGUGAAAUGCGUAGAUAUAUGGAAGAACACCAGUGGCGAAAGCGGCUCUCUGGUCUGUAACUGACGCUGAGGUUCGAAAGCGUGGGUAGCAAACAGGAUUAGAUACCCUUGUAGUC